rnacentral:rRNA from 1 species
GACGAACGCUGGCGGCGUGCUUAACACAUGCAAGUCGAACGAAAAGAGGGAAAGAGCUUGCUCUUUCCGGAAUUGAGUGGCAAACGGGUGAGUAACACGUAAACAACCUGCCUUCAGGAUGGGGACAACAGACGGAAACGACUGCUAAUACCGAAUAAGUUCCAAGAGCCGCAUGGCCCAUGGAAGAAAAGGUGGCCUCUACCUGUAAGCUAUCGCCUGAAGAGGGGUUUGCGUCUGAUUAGCUGGUUGGAGGGGUAACGGCCCAACAAGGGGACGAUCAGUAGCCCGUCUGAGAGGAUGAACGGCCACACUGGAACUGAGACACGGUCCAGACCCCUACGGGAGGCAGCAGUGGGGAAUCUUCCGCAAUGGGCGAAAGCCUGACGGAGCAACGCCGGGUGAGUGAUGACGGCCUUCGGGUUGUAAAACUCUGUGAUCCGGGACGAAAAGGCAGAGUGCGAAGAACAAACUGCAUUGACGGUACCGGAAAAGCAAGCCACGGCUAACUACGUG